rnacentral:rRNA from 1 species
GACGAACGCUGGCGGCGUGCUUAACACAUGCAAGUCGAACGGAAAGGCCCUGCUUUUGUGGGGUGCUCGAGUGGCGAACGGGUGAGUAACACGUGAGUAACCUGCCCUUGACUUUGGGAUAACUUCAGGAAACUGGGGCUCAUACCGGAUAGGAGCUCCUGCUGCAUGGGGGGGGUUGGAAAGUUUCGGCGGUUGGGGAUGGACUCGCAGCUUAUCAGCUUGUUGGUGGGGUAGUGGCGUACCAAGGCUUUGACGGGUAGCCGGCCUGGGAGGGUGAACGGCCACCAUAGGACUGAGAUACGGACCAGACUCCUACGGGACGCAGCAGUGGAGAAUAUUGCAGAAUGGGCGGAAGCCUGAUGCAGCAACGCCGCGUGCGGGAUGACGGCCUUCGGGUUGUAAACCGCUUUCGCCUGUGACGAAGCGUGCGUGACGGUAAUGGGUAAAGAAGCACCGGCUAACUACGUG